UCCUUCCCAGCCUUCCUGGGGAAGAGAGACUGAUGGAGCAGCUGCUCAAGAGGAAAAUUCUCUUCUCUUCCAGGAAUCUGGGGCACCAGCCAAGGCCCUUGUGUUACGAAAGGGAGUUUAUAUUCUGAAAUUGAACAUUACGUUUGUACCCUUGUCUUUUUAAGAUGCGCUGGCUGGACGCUCUCUCUGAUCUGGGAGGUUUUCAAGUAUUUAUACACCUUUCCCCUGACUCCUCCUCCUCAGAAUUGUAGAAGGAGAGAGAGCAGCCAGGUUAUCUUCAUCCUGUUGCCCUGGGUGAUGGUUGCUAGGAGGCGGGCUUCCCUUAAGGGGAGAGGCAUCCUGGACCAGCCCAGGCUCUUUUGGCCCUCGGACCUCAGAGAGGGGAGGUGGGGCAGCAGGGGAAGAGGAACAUUGGACCCCCAAAAUGGCGAUUACAAUUUCCUGCUUCAAGUAUUCAGACUUGUACCUCAGUAUUGACCCUCUGAAACAAUCAAGUCCUGAGAUAGUUCUGCACUUCAGGGAAGGCUGCUCCUAAAAUGAGCAUGAAAGGCAUCUUUAUUCAAAAAUGUCCCUGAAGAAUUACAAUGUUGGACCAGACGAAUCACUCCAAGAAGAACCUCUUGGAAGAUGCUUGAAGGUCCAUUGAAGGUGGGCCAACUGCAGGUGACUUACUGGAAUGGAAGUUAACGUCUUCAGGAAAUCAGUAAAGUCAAUAGGUCAAUAAAUAAAUACAUUCGUCACCAUCGCAAAGGUCAAUAAAUAGCUUGGUGUCUUAGCUUGAUAGAACUGUU